rnacentral:SRP_RNA from 1 species
ACUGGACAUAUGUGAUGUAGCUAAUUUAUAUUAAGAUGAUAGAAGUGUGAUUAUCAGUUCAGGGCUGCUGUGGACUAUGCAGUGUCCACACUACGUUCAGCAUCAAUAUGGCAAGCCGAGGUAUGCCAGAUUGCCCAAGGAGAAGUGAACUGGUCCCAGUUGGAUACGGAGCAGGUAAAAACUCCCAUGCCAAUCAGUAGUGGGACUGCGCUUGUGAAUAGCUGCUGUAACCUUACCUGGGCAAGACAGU